AUUGCACUCUGGCGGCAGGCCUAACACAUGCAAGUCGAACGAGUGGCGGACUGGUGAGUAAUGUCUGUGACACUUCCCGAUGGAGGGGGAUAACUACUGGAAACGGUAGCUAAUACCGCAUACCAUCGGAUGUGCCCAGAGGGGAUUAGCUAGUAGGUGGGGUAACGGCUCACCUAGGCGACGAUCCCUAGCUGGUCUGCGAUGAUGACCAGCAACACUGGAACUGAGACACGGUCCAGACUCCUACGGGAGGCAGCAGUGGGGAAUAUUGAACAAUGGGCGAAAGCCUGAUACAGCCAUGCCGCGUGUAUGAAGAAGGCCUUCGGGUUGUAAAGUACUUUCAGCGAGGAGGCGUUACUCGCAGAAGAAGCACCGGCUAACUCCGUGCCAGCAGCCGCGGUAAUUC
rnacentral:rRNA from 1 species